rnacentral:rRNA from 1 species
UCGGGAAUUUUGGGCAAUGGGCGAAAGCCUGACCCAGCAACGCCGCGUGAAGGAUGAAGUAUUUCGGUAUGUAAACUUCGAAAGAAUAGGAAGAAUAAAUGACGGUACUAUUUAUAAGGUCCGGCUAACUACGUGCCAGCAGCCGCGGUAAUACGUAGGGACCAAGCGUUGUUCGGAUUUACUGGGCGUAAAGGGCGCGUAGGCGGCUUGACAAGUCACUUGUGAAAUCUCUGGGCUUAACCCAGAACGGCCAAGUGAAACUGUCAUGCUAGAGUGCAGAAGGGGCAAUCGGAAUUCUUGGUGUAGCGGUGAAAUGCGUAGAUAUCAAGAGGAACACCUGAGGUGAAGACGGGUUGCUGGGCUGACACUGACGCUGAGGCGCGAAAGCCAGGGGAGCAAACGGGAUUAGAUACCCAAGUAGUCCCUG